rnacentral:rRNA from 1 species
GACGAACGCUGGCGGCGUGCUUAACACAUGCAAGUCGAACGAAGAGCGAUGGAAGCUUGCUUCUAUCAAUCUUAGUGGCGCACGGGUGAGUAACGCGUAAUCAACCUGCCCUUCAGAGGGGGACAACAGUUGGAAACGACUGCUAAUACCCCAUACGAUCUAAUCUCUGCAUCGAGGAUAGAUUAAAGGUGGCCUCUACAUGUAAGCUAUCACUGAAGGAGGGGAUUGCGUCUGAUUAGCUAGUUGGGGGGGUAACGGCCCACCAAGGCGAUGAUCAGUAGCCGGGCUGGGAAGAUGAACGGCCACAUUGGGACUGAGACACGGCCCAGACUCCUAAGGGAGGCAGCAGUGGGGAAUCUUCCGAAAAGGACGAAAGUCUGAAGGAGCAAAGCCGCGUGAGUGAUGACGGCCUUCGGGUUGUAAAGCUCUGUUAAUCGGGACGAAAGGCCUUCUUGCGAAUAGUGAGAAGGAUUGACGGUACCGGAAUAGAAAGCCACGGCUAACUACGUG